AUGGCAGCCCCUAAUGUUAGAGCUGAAAUCAAACCCGGUGAUGUUGAAUCUGACCCCUGUAAGAGAAUACCAAUUGAGGAGUUAGAUCCAGACAUUAGAGAUCUUGCUAGAAGGGAGUACAUUAGUAUGGGUCCUUGCCAACCAACUAAUCAUACAUAUGAAAAGAUAAAUGGUAGGAGCUUUCAUGACUAUUGGUUCAAUGAUCAUCGCGGCUGGUUGGAAUAUAGCAUUGAAAAAAAUCAGCCUUUUGCUUUUAUUGUUUUCUGUUUAAGCAACCAAGAGCUGAAAACUAUGAUAUUGAAGCAUUCACGAGAAAUGGAUUCAAAUCUUGGAAGGAUGGACCUAAAGUUUUUAAUCAGCAUGUUGGCAAGCAUGAUAGUGCUCAUAAUAAAUCUAGGCAACAUUAUGAGGAUUUCAAAAAUCAAAGACAAAAUCUGCCACAUGUCUUUGAUAGGGGUUCUGAGAAGCAAGAAGAAGAAUACAAAGCCCGUCUCUUGA
rnacentral:rRNA from 1 species